rnacentral:lncRNA from 1 species
AUUCAAAUACAAAUACUAAUAAUCACAUUAAAUGAUACAAUUAAAUUAAAAUAAAUGUUCCAGUUAAAAAAUGAAGAUUAUUCAGUAAAUAAUAAGAUGUGGUGCUUAUCAGUGAUAUUCCUUAAACAUAAGGACCCAGAAAAUUGAAAAAAUAUGGUUAAAACAAACUAUGCAAACACUAAUCAAAACAAAGCUAUAUUAAUAUUAGACAAAUUAAACAUUAAGGCAUGGAGCAUUACGAGGGAUAAUGAAGUGUAUUUCAUAAUGACAAAGAAUUGAUUUACCAGGAAGACAUAAAUAUCCUAAACAUUUGGGCACUAAUAACAGACACACUUCAACUUAUUCACAUAUUUUCAUGUACAUAUAUACAGUCAUCCCUCAGUAUCCCCUGGGGUUUGGUUUCAAGAUCCACUGCAAAUACCAAAAUCCAUGGAUGCAGAAGUCGCCUAUAGAACAUGGUGUAGUAUUUGCAAAUAACCUACUCACUUUAGAUCAUUUUUUGAUUAUCUAAAGUAUCUAAUAUGCAAAUGCUAUGUAAAAAGUUGUCCUGCAUUAUUUAGGCAAUAAUCACAAGAAAUCUAUCUAUCUAUAUAUGUUCAGUAAUAAACACCCCCAAAAAUUUUUUUUUAAAGAACAGUUCUGAUCUACAGUUGGUUGAAUACAAAGAUGCAUAAACUAGAUAUAGAAUGCCAACUGUGUGUGUGUGUGUAAAUGGAUAGAGAAAGAGACAGAAGUAAUGGAUUGGUAACCUUGCACAAGGAAAAGUCCCCUGUCUAACCCCACUCCUGGAAGGUGAUCUCUAAGUCUUUGGAAUGUCCUGCCUGAAAGAAAUGACUGGGUUUAACUGGGGUACUUGGCUAAGCCACAUAGUACAAUAACAAUGUGAUUUAUGCUGGGACUUUGGACCACACAUAUUAACUUGAUUUUUGGAAGGGCUGCAGACUAAGGACAGACACAUAGGUGGUCAGCCACAUCUAUAUGGCCAACUAUUACACCAAGGCUUGGGUAAGCUUCUCUGGUUGGCAAAUCUUUGUGUGUUUGCACACAUCUUUGUCAGAAGAAGCAAGUACUGUGCACAUGACUUCUCUAAGAGAGGGCAACUGGAACCUCCUACCUGGAACUCUCUCGGGUCCUUCUCACACACAUUUUCCCAUUGCCAAUUUUGACUUGCAUCUGCUUAAUGUAAUACCAUGAAUGUAAAAGCUUUGCUGAAUUCUGAGUCCCAACAAAUUAAUGAAAUUGAGGCUGGUCCCAAGAGUCUCCCAUACUUGCACACAGUGCACUGUGCACAUGCAUGCACACACACAAACACUCAUACAGGCUGAACAUCCCUAACCUGAAAAUCUGAAAUCCACAAUGCUUUAAAUCCUGAAAUCUUUUGAGUACCAAUGUCAUGCCCCAAGUAAAAAAUUCCAUACCUAGUUUCAUGUGAUGAUGAGUUAUAGUUAAAACACAGGUGUACUACAAUUAUUGUAUAAAAUCACCUUUAGGCUAUGUAUACAAGAGUAUGUAAAACAUGUAAGAGUUCUGUGUUCAGACUUGGGUCUUAUCUUCAAGAUAUCCCAUUAUGCAUAUGCAAAUACUGCAAAAUCUGAAACAAAGUUCAAAAGCCAAAAUGCUUUUGUUUUCAUAUUUCAGAUGAGAGGUAAUAAAUAUGAAUUCUGGGCUUAUAUUUAAUAACUUUCCCUUCCUUUUCUUUUGGUUUUAAUUUGAUUGCCCUUAUAGAAUGUCUUGAAUGAGAUACUUAGAUCAUUGGUUUUAAGCCUUAUUUUAUGAAUAUAUUUAUUUAUUUACUUAAGACAAAAAAUUUGCCUCUAAAGUUUUAUAGUUGUGAUUUAGUUAUAUUUAUGAUUAUUCAGUUGACACUCUAAUUUUCUUCCAUAUUUCAUCUUUGAUCCAUAAAUUGUUUAAUAUUGUCUCUAAGUUGGCAUAAAAUGAUACUUUAU